rnacentral:rRNA from 1 species
UACGAGGGGGGCAAGCGUUGUUCGGAAUUAUUGGGCGUAAAGGGUGCGUAGGCGGUCUGACAAGUCUGAUGUGAAAUCUAUGGGCUCAACCCUGGAAUGCCGGUGGAAACUGUCAGGCUCGAGUCCGGAAGAGGCGAGUGGAAUUCCUGGUGUAGCGGUGAAAUGCGCAGAUAUCGGAAGGAACACCUGUGGCGAAGGCGAGUCUCUGGACAUUUCCUGACGCUGAGGCACGAAAGCCAGGGGAGCAAACGGGG